GGACUACACGGGUUUCUAAUCCUGUUUGCUACCCACGCUUACGCGUCUCAGCGUCAAGAGCGGUCCAGAAGGCCGCCUUCGCCACCGGUAUUCCUCCUAAUAUCUACGAAUUUCACCUCUACACUAGGAAUUCCACCUUCCUCUACCGUCUUCUAGCUAGGGAGUUUCGGAUGCACUUCCUCGGUUGAGCCCAGGGAUUUCACACCCGACUUACCUAACCGCCUACACGCGCUUUACGCCCAAUGAUUCCGAACAACGCUAGCACCCUACGUAUUACCGCGGCUGCUGGCAC
rnacentral:rRNA from 1 species